rnacentral:lncRNA from 10 species
GUGAUUAGAGGUCUCUUAGAGACUGGCACACUAGGCAGCCACCUGGUUGGCCUCCCCUUCAUUCAGUCAGCUCUGCCAUUCAGCUUUCUUCCAGCCUCUGCACAUUACCUGUCCUAGUUCUUGUUUUAUUGUACUGCCACUCAACUUUUCUGAAUCUCCCACUUGGCUGUGUCUCUGUACCUGCUAAAUCAACACAGUUCCUGGCAUACAGGUGCAUUUCAGUGCAUGCUGGUGAGACAGCGAAGGGCUUGAAACAGUCCACAAAAGUUGAUGCAGGAGAGCAGUACAAUCCUUUCUGGAGUGGGACUCAGAGAAAGAUCAUGCAUGUUGAAGUCAUUCCAGCAGCAGUCCAGGGGAGUUGGGGCAGGUAAGAUGGGAUAAGUGCACUCCAACCAUCAUUUCUGUUGGUCAUAACUCCAGGAGAGAAAGUUUAGAACAGCUAUUUGAGGACGGUGAAAAGAAAACAGCAGAAGGAAUAUUGGUGAAGAACACAGAAUUUGAAGUACAUCAAACCAGUAGGCUCACUUCCAAGCCAUACAUGUUUGGAUCUGGUUUUAAUGAGGAUACCAAGACCUUUGAGAACUGAAGUAAUAGAGAGGUCAUCACCUGGUUCCUAGACUGGCUUCUGGGUGGUGCACACCUGAAAUGGAGACAAAAAGCAGUUUGAAAACUGAGUGGAUGUUGACAUCACAGCGCACAGAAGAAAUAAUGUCUCGCUAUGUUGCCCAGGCUGGACUUCAACUUCUUGGCUCAAGUGAUCCUCCCACCUCAGUCUCUCGAAUAGCUGGGACUAUAGGCAUGGGCCAUUGUGCCCAGUUCAGAGGAACCUUUUCAGAGAGGAUGGUCAGGACAGCCUCUUUGAGCAGGACUAGCCAUAAUUUGAAGAUGCUGGAAAAAAAUAUUCACAGUCUCUGGAAAUCUAGCAAAGUGAUCAGGAUUCUUUCCUUUGGCACUUCAAAGCAGAGUCAACAAAAAAAGCUGGGGGCGUUUUUUUGUGGUUAUAUGUUAAAAGUAAGAAUGAACUUAUACUGUCUUUCUUCCAUUUUUCUUUCCUUAUACCUGGGUUUGGCUGAGCCUGAGAGCAAAGAUUGCCAUUUGGGUUCAGUAGGUUGCUGACAAAUUAAGUAAAGAUUCCCUCAUUUGUGGGUCAGAUGUCUUACAGCCUGGUUUUGGUGAAGCAAAUCUUGGGAGAGUGAAUCUUGUCCACCCUCUGGCUGCUGGCCACAUGGAGAUGUUAGUAAUUGCGGGUCAGGGCAGGUCAGAUCUCCUAAGCCAAAGGUCCAGAGGUAUCAGCGAAUGCAGGGACUACCAGGCAAUUCUUCAUGUCUCAGCCUGGCAAGGAGUUAAUUCCAGAGAAAGCUGCAGGUUCCGUCACUAAUUCAUUGUGUGAUCUUGGGCAAGUUUAUUAUUUGUAAAAUGGGAGUGGAGGUAGGGUAGGGUGUGGGCUGAGCCAGAGUGAUAGCCAUUGCUCUCUUCAGCUUUUAAAUUCCAGUGGGUCAACAAAAAGGAAGCUUCUGAGCAACCUUAAUUGGCAGAGCUGAGGACACAAACAGCAGGAAUAGCUGUAGAGGGAUAUGGCCUGGGUGGAGUUCCUGCAAGCCCAAGGGAUUCCAGGACAGCUAGCAGGAAAAGAAUGGUUAGCGAGG